rnacentral:rRNA from 1 species
GAGUUUGAUCCUGGCUCAGAACGAACGCUGGCGGCAGGCUUAACACAUGCAAGUUGAACGCGUGUAGCAAUACACGAGUAGCGCACGGGUGAGUAACGCGUGGGAAUAUGCCCUUCAGUACGGAAUAACGUCGGGAAACUGACGCUAAUACCGUAUAAUGUCUACGGACCAAAGAUUUAUCGCUGAAGGAUUAGCCCGCGUUGGAUUAGCUAGUUGGUGAGGUAACGGCUCACCAAGGCGAUGAUCCAUAGCUGGUCUGAGAGGAUGAUCAGCCACACUGGGACUGAGACACGGCCCAGACUCCUACGGGAGGCAGCAGUGAGGAAUAUUGGACAAUGGGGGAAACCCUGAUCCAGCCAUGCCGCGUGAGUGAUGAAGGCCCUCGGGUUGUAAAGCACUUUAAGCUGGGAAGAAAAAUCGGAACUAACAUUUCCGGUCUUGACGGUACCAGAAGAAUAAGCAACGGCUAACUCUGUGCCAGCAGCCGCCGUAAC